rnacentral:rRNA from 1 species
AACGAACGCUGGCGGCGCGCCUAAUACAUGCAAGUCGAGCGAGAAGACGUAGCAAUACGUUUGUAAAGCGGCGAACGGGUGAGGAAUACAUGGGUAACCUACCCUCGAGUGGGGAAUAACUAGCCGAAAGGUUAGCUAAUACCGCGUACGCUCCUUGGACUUCGGUUCAGGGAGGAAAGCGAUACCGUGGGUAUCGCGCUCUUGGAUGGGCUCAUGUCCUAUCAGCUUGUUGGGAGGUAACGGCUCACCAAGGCUUCGACGGGUAGCUGGUCUGAGAGGACGAUCAGCCACACUGGCACUGCGACACGGGCCAGACUCCUACGGGAGGCAGCAGUAAGGAAUAUUGCGCAAUGGGCGAAAGCCUGACGCAGCGACGCCGCGUGGGGGAUGAAGGUCUUCGGAUUGUAAACCCCUUUCCGGGAGGGAAGAUGGAACGAGCAACCGUUCGGACGGUACCGUCCAGAAGCAGCCACGGCUAACUUCGUGCCAGCAGCCGCUGUAAC